UACGUAGGGUGCGAGCGUUGCCCGGAUUCAUUGGGCGUAAAGGGCGCGUAGGCGGUCACGCACGUCCGUUGUGAAAUCGCUCGGCUCAACUGGGCGGGGUCAGCGGAUACGGCGUGGCUGGAGCAAGCUAGGGGGCAAUGGAAUUCCCGGUGUAGUGGUGGAAUGCGUAGAUAUCGGGAGGAACACCAGUGGCGAAGGCGGUUGCCUGGAGCUUUGCUGACGCUGAUGCGCGAAAGCGUGGGGAGCGAUCCGG
rnacentral:rRNA from 1 species